UACGAAGGGGGCUAGCGUUGUUCGGAUUUACUGGGCGUAAAGCGCGUGUAGGCGGACUUGUAAGUUGGGGGUGAAAUCCCGAGGCUCAACCUCGGGGUCUGCAGUCGAUACGGGCAAACUAGAGUAUUGCAGGGGAGACUGGAAUUCCUGGUGUAGCGGUGGAAUGCGCAGAUAUCUGGAGAAUACCGGUGGCGAAGGCGGCAUCCUGGACCGACAUUGACGCUGAACGGCGAAAGCUAGGGGAGCAAACGGG
rnacentral:rRNA from 1 species